UACGUAGGGUGCGAGCGUUGUCCGGAAUUACUGGGCGUAAAGAGCUCGUAGGUGGUUUGUCGCGUUGUUCGUGAAAACCGGGGGCUUAACCCUCGGCGUGCGGGCGAUACGGGCAGACUUGAGUACUGCAGGGGAGACUGGAAUUCCUGGUGUAGCGGUGGAAUGCGCAGAUAUCAGGAGGAACACCGGUGGCGAAGGCGGCUCUCUGGGCCUUACCUGACGCUGAGGAGCGAAAGCGUGGGUAGCGAACAGG
rnacentral:rRNA from 1 species